rnacentral:rRNA from 1 species
CACACGACUCUCGGCAACGGAUAUCUCGGCUCUCGCAUCGAUGAAGAACGUAGCGAAAUGCGAUACCUGGUGUGAAUUGCAGAAUCCCGCGAACCAUCGAGUCUUUGAACGCAAGUUGCGCCCAAGGCCACCAGGCCGAGGGCACGCCUGCCUGGGCGUCACGC